AAAGCGCCCAGACAGAUGUUCAGG
rnacentral:siRNA from 1 species